AGCCGCGGUAAUUCCAGCUCCAUUGGCGUAUAUUAAAGUUGUUGCGGUUAAAAAGCUCGUAGUUGGAUCUGUGUAUCGGACGGUCGGUUCGCCGCUCGCGGCGUUUAACUGACCGGUCCGGACGUCCUGCUGGUGGACGCCGGUUCGCGCCGGUGUCCGUAACCCCUCCGCGCUGCUCUUAACCGAGUGGUUCGGUGGGCCAGCACGUUUACUUUGAACAAAUUUGAGUGCUCAAAGCAGGCCUUUUGUCGCCUGAAAACUGUGUGCAUGGAAUAAUGGAAUAGGGCCUUGGUUCUAUUUUGUUGGCUUUCUGAACUCGAGGUAAUGAUUAAUAGGGACAGACGGGGGCAUUCGUAUUGCGACGUUAGAGGUGAAAUUCUUGGAUCGUCGCAAGACGGACGGAUGCGAAAGCGUUUGCCAAGAAUGUUUUCGCUAAUCAAGAACGAAAGUUAGAGGUUCGAAGGCGAUCAGAUACCGCCCUAGUUCUAACCAUAAACGAUGCCAGCCAGCGAUGCGCCGAAGUUCCUCCGAUGACUCGGCGCGCAGCUUCCGGGAAACCAAAGCUUUUGGGUUCCGGGGGAA
rnacentral:rRNA from 1 species